rnacentral:snoRNA from 1 species
UUUGGGAAAUGAUGAUUAUAUAUCGAUUUUUUCAGAGGCUCAGUUGAUUAAUACCUGCUGCUGCUAUUCUGAUCAUUUUGCACGUCAGUCUGAUCCCAUU